rnacentral:misc_RNA from 1 species
CUGGUGGAAAAAUCCUGUAAACAGAAUGAGAUUCAACACUUCAUAUUUCUUCAAAUCUAACUUAUUCCUUCCUUCCAGUUGUGUGGAAAGCAAAAUGAUAAUCAGGAGUUUCUUUGAUUGAGGUCUAAUCUCCAGUGCUAAAGGCUGUUGAAGAUUAAUGUGGCUAAUGGAGGAACUUCAGCUACUGUUUAUCCUUCUAUUGCUGUUCUGCAAAUAUUGUGAAU